rnacentral:rRNA from 1 species
CUACGGAGGAUGCAAGCGUUAUCCGGAUUUAUUGGGUUUAAAGGGUGCGUAGGCGGUUUGCUAAGCGGGAGGUGAAAUGCCGGCGCCCAACGUCGGAAGUGCCUCCCGAACUGGUGGACUGGAAUGACUCUGCCGUGGGAGGAAUGUGUAGUGUAGCGGUGAAAUGCUUAGAGAUUACACAGAACACCGAUUGCGAAGGCAUCUCACGAAGGGUUGAUUGACGCUGAGGCACGAAAGCGUGGGGAUCAAACAGGAUUAGAUACCCUGGUAGUCCACGCAGUAAACGAUGAUGGCUAACCGCUGGUUUUUUCGGAUCAGUGGCCAAGCGAAAGCGAUAAGCCAUCCACCUGGGGAGUACGACCGCAAGGUUGAAACUCAAAGGAAUUGACGGGG